rnacentral:lncRNA from 1 species
AGGUGACCUGAGCAUCAAGAGAUACAACAGUAAAAUUAGAGAUCUGACUGUGCUGGGCCUGAGAUGUCUGAUAGCCACAGAAAGUAAACUGGAAGGACCCCCUGCUACCCCCCAGAUAACCAAUAGUUCCUCAUUUCUUCUUCAGGUAUGCAGACACAUAUUCCAUGA